UGGGGAAUUUUGGACAAUGGGCGAAAGCCUGAUCCAGCAAUGCCGCGUGUGUGAAGAAGGCCUUCGGGUUGUAAAGCACUUUUGUCCGGAAAGAAAUCCUCUGGGUUAAUACCUCGGGGGGAUGACGGUACCGGAAGAAUAAGCACCGGCUAACUACGUGCCAGCAGCCGCGGUAAUACGUAGGGUGCAAGCGUUAUCGGAAUUACUGGGCGUAAAGCGUGCGCAGGCGGUUUUGUAAGACGGAUGUGAAAUCCCCGGGCUUAACCUGGGAACUGCAUUCGUGACUGCAAGGCUAGAGUAUGGCAGAGGGGGGUAGAAUUCCACGUGUAGCAGUGAAAUGCGUAGAGAUGUGGAGGAAUACCGAUGGCGAAGGCAGCCCCCUGGGCCAAUACUGACGCUCAUGCACGAAAGCGUGGGGAGCAAACAGGAUUAGAUACCCUGGUAGUCCACGCCCUAAACGAUGUCAACUAGUUGUUGGGGAUUCAUUUCCUUAGUAACGUAGCUAACGCGUGAAGUUGACCGCCUGGGGAGUACGGUCGCAAGAUUAAAACUCAAAUGAAUUGACGGGGUCAUAGCUGUUUCCU
rnacentral:rRNA from 1 species